CCCAUGGCAGAACGAUGAUAUUGUUGGUAGGGACAUCUGAGUAAAUGUGAAGAAAAAACCAACACACUGACUCCAUGGG
rnacentral:snoRNA from 1 species